AAUUUAUAACGUAAUCGUUCAAAAUCAGAAGAAAUGAAUUUGAAAAUAUACUCUUACCAUUCAGUUCAUUCUCUUUGGAUCAAAACAUGAACAAAAACAUGAACAAUUUAAAUCAUAGAAUGUUAUUGCAUACGCUAAUGCUAUUAAUGCUUCGGGAAGUGUGAACACUAUCAAUUGAUACAGAAUUCUUUUCUCUUUAAUUUAAAAUCUACCAUUUCUCUCGUUACGAAUAUUCAUACAGUUGGUUUACAAUGAAAUUUCAUUUCAUUUAAACGAGAAAAGAGGACUAAAAACGUUACAUCUUUUAACGUUAAAAAUGACUAAAUUGCGUUUUCUUUCUCUACCCAUUUUCGUGUUCUUUUCGUUUUUUUCUUCCUUUUCGUAAUUCCAUCUUUUCGCUUCUAUUCAUUUUCGUUUCGUUUCGCGUUUUGAUUUUAUACCUGAGCAAAUUACUUCGUUCGGACACAUCGAGGUGUCGUUUUUCUUGUUGGAUAGCAUGUGAUAGCAUAACAAUUCAUGUUUUCUGUCAUGCAUUCCCAUUUGCGAUUUGUUCCGAAAGAAUAUGUGCAGACAAAUUUUUGAAUUGACUUUUAACCAAAUGAUAAAUUGCGGCAGAUAGUGCGAUUACGAUAAAAUUCGAUCGGAAAUCGCAUGUUGCACCACAAUAUUUAAUUAGUGUUGUUGAAAACUGACAUAAAAGUAGUUAUCACAGAAAAGGAUCGAAGUAUCUUGGAUCACUUAAUGCAACGUGACAAUGAAUAAAACAUGAUCUUUGCUAUGCUUUCGUUCGUUCUUCAAUUGGGCUUGUGUAUGCAUUUCAAUGCGAUAAGCAGUGAGAAAAUUGAAAGAUGGUUAGGAAACGAGCGCAUAUUUAAUGAUGCCGAAAUUAAAUCGUCGAAUAAAGGAGUGAACAAAACGAAUACCGAAUCAAAUGCGCCGAAUGGAUGUAGCCGUACCGCGUAUGUAAUGCACGGAACAUCAACAACGAUAAUACAUUUUGGUCGGCGCUUUCUUCUUGCCGUUGAAGGCAAAUAAUUCUGGAGCAUUUGUUGCCGCGGUGAUGCCGGCGUGAUCAAAUCAUUUGAUAAGUUUUCCAAAUCAUUGUUCCAGAGAUCAUGGCAUUCAAUGUAACAAUAAAUUGUUGAAGUUUUAUCGGCGACGCAACAAAACAACAGCAAAAAGAACAACGAAAAAUUAAAGAUAAAAACCAUGAACACAAAGCGUGCCUGUUAUUAGAUUUUAAAUGAGAUGAACAUUUUGAUGAUGGCAUUAAGGAAAAAUACCGUGUGUCAGAUCAUUUCUUUUUUUUUUUUAAAGCAAAGUAAAGAAAAUGCAUUCGCUAUACAACCGCCAGAUAAACGCUUGCUGAAACUUGAACAAAAAGUUAAAAGCCUGUACUGCAACUUCUGGCAUACCCUUUCCGUAAAAGAUGAAGAAGAAAAAAACAUGCGAAUGAUCGGAUUUGCAAACGGUACAACUCCUGAAUAUUCAAUUUCUCCUUUUUCCCUUGAAGUUUCUUUGAACUCUCGACACUAGAAUUUGAAAAGCACUUGAAACAUGUGUUACAACCGAACGAGAAUGAAAUUACGGAAGGCGCGUAUUCUAAAUGAGAAAAUGAAGCCAAAUUAAAAUACAUUUGUAUUUAAUUUACUGGCAGACCAUAAUCUCAAUGGCUCUUAACGAAAUGGUUAUGUUGUUGAUUCGUUUUUCAUUUCAUUUUCCAUUCUCAUUUCUUCAUUCUUCUUUUUUAAAUGUCUUUUGAUUAUAGACAUAGCUAACUAAAUAAAAUACAGCCACGGAAAAUACCGCAUUUGGAUCUAUGGGAACCAGCUAUUCAAUUCGUCGGCUGCUCAGAUUCCAUAUAUAUCAACCUAUGAGCACACAUCGUAUAAUUGAUAUAAAAUGUUGAGAAACGCACAUCAAUUCGUGUAAACUGCUUGAAAAAAAGUGAUCUUCUUUGUUCAUUCGUCUUUUCCUUCAUAUAUUGUCGUUCGAUCGUGUUUUUUCGUACGUUAUUGUUGUGCGUGUGCCUUUAUUUUAACCAGCAAAAGUCAAAUUCAUAUAUGCUUAUGGGCAAAACUAACUUGUUUUAGUUGCAGUGUCACUUUGUUUUGAAAAGACACAUCACAAACAGUACACACAAUUAUUAUAUUUGCAACCUGUUCGCUGUACGUGCGCUCCCGCAGCUAAAAUGGAUAAUUUUACGCGAUAUCAUAGAUUGGUGUGCACAUUGCUUGUGUUUUUAAAUAUUUGCUUGCCUCUGCAUACUGUAAUAAGUGCAUUUUAGCAAAUUAUUCGUAUUGUAUCACGCAGUGCAACUCAGAUUCAACCAAAUUGAAUUACUUAUUCACUCAUUGAAAUUCAUUUACAUAUCGCUUCUGUUUUGAUCGCCUAUUUAUGAGAUGAAUUAAUUGAGCGCUCAUUUUAAGAGCACUUGAUCCUGGGCUCACUCAAUUACUCUUUCGCUUAUUCGUUUUGCACAUGUUUCUCUACUUAGUUACGGUAAAUCUAUUUUAACUGCGGUUUUUGUUGGCAUUGCAAUGUAACAAUAUAAUUGUUACCAUGAAUCAUAUCCUGAAAAUGUUGGAUUCAGCACGUUCUCGUAAUGCAUCAAUCGGCUCAAAAAGAAAAAUAAGAGAGAAAGAAAUAUUUAUUGCAUUUGCGGAUUAGUGAGUCAUAAAUGCUUUGGAUUUAAGAGUGUUCUUCGCGAUUUUGUUUUGUUUCGCGAAGAAGAAAUAAUGAGAGCGCACCGGAAGCAAUUGAGUUACGGUUGACUGGACUGAACUGAACUGAAUUGAUGGAACUGUUGUUUUGUGCACAGCUCGUUCCGAAUUUAACUGACCUUGCAAAUUUGACCAUUGCUAUUGGCCACUGCCACAAAAAUUGUGUCCGUGUGAUUGCAAACAAAUGAAAAGGGGCAAGUUAAAACGGUGUCGUUAAAACAGUUCGUGAUUUUAUUGCGUAUAAAAUGGACAAAAAGAUGAGUGAUGCAAAGGCACCGAUUAUUGACUGAACAGCAUGAACAUCGAAUGAUCACGCAUUCAAUUAGAAUUUCCGUUUCCAAUUUAACUUUUUUCCGACAGGGCCGAAAGUGAUAGGAUCUCGCUAUGCAUGCUCAACACCGAUGCGAGAAAAGUAGACAAAAAAUUUCAAAUCUUUUAAAUCAUGAUACGAGGGUCGCUGCAUAAGUUUCUGGCCUAACCUAUUUCUAGUGUUUUCAGAUGCAAUCUGACGAUUCCAUCGGAAAGUUUGACAUUUUUUAGGCUAAAAAACACUAUAGCAGGGAUUGUUUUACAUUACUGGGUGUGUCUAAGCCUCCUUUCCAAGGGAUACCUGGAAAAAUCGUUUCGCACAGCAUCAAUGUGUUCCGGCGUUACAGCUGAUAUUUUACGACUUUCCUGCGGACUCAUUUUUGAGUGAGCUUCGUCAACAUUUAAAAUCGUUAUAUCACCUCUAAAUACUUGGAAUGGACCGAGUUUUAUCACCCAAAGCGAAUUUGAGGCUAUCACGGCACUCUUGUUGAGUUAGUCCCUCUCAAAAAUCGGAAAAAAUCAUUGCACUAAAAUUUUUGCGGAAAAAUUCAAUUUUUUCAUCAAAUUGAAAUAUUCAAGCUCAUAAAACACCACGAUCCGUAGUGAAUCAACAGUUGACGUCUGAGGAAA